GUGCUCGCUUUGGCAGCACAUACACUAAAAUUGGAACAAUAUAGAGAUGAUUAGCAUGGUCUCUGCGCAAGAAUGACACACAAACGUGAAGCGUUCCAUAAUUAA